rnacentral:rRNA from 1 species
GACGUAGGGCGCGAGCGUUGUCCGGAUUUAUUGGGCGUAAAGAGCUCGUAGGCGGCUCAUUGCGUCAACCGUGAAAACCAGCAGCUCAACUGUUGGCUUGCGGUUGAUACGGGUGGGCUGGAGUUCGGUAGGGGAGACUGGAAUUCCUGGUGUAGCGGUGAAAUGCGUAGAUAUCAGGAGGAACACCCGUGGCGAAGGCGGCCAUCUGGACCAGCACUGACGCUGAGGCACGAAAGCGUGGGGAGCAAACAGG